rfam:Thiorhodovibrio sp. 970 genomic scaffold Thi970scaffold_2, whole genome shotgun sequence.
UAGCGGGUUAGAGUCCCGCCCGGGUAAUCGUGAGCCGCGAGCCCGGUAUCAAGCCUUACGGCGCGAAGGGUAACUGACGCGUCGGUGCGUAGGCAUGAAAACAGGCGAGGUGCAAAGGUAGCGGGU